UCCCAGGUGGCUCAGUGGGUAAAGAAUCUGCCUGCAAAGCAGGAGACACAGGAGAUGCAGGUUCGAUCCCUGGGUUGGGAA
rfam:Ovis aries breed Texel chromosome 1, whole genome shotgun sequence.